CGAGUAUUCCCUUAGUAACUGCGAGUGAACGGGGAAAAGCCCAUCGCUGAAUCCUUCAGCCACUGGCUGCUAGGAAUUGUAGCGUAUAGGUGCGGCUGUCCGUUCGUUUCGUGCACCCAAAGUCCCCUUGAGCGGGGCUAUAGUCCAAAGAAGGUGCUAGACCUGUACGGGUGGCGAGGCGAUCGGUUGGUUGCUCCUUGGAGUCGGGUUGCCUGGGAUCGCAGCCCAAAGUUGGUGGUAGACCUCAUCUAAGGCUAAAUAUGGCCACGAAACCGAUAGCAAACAAGUACCGUGAGGGAAAGUUGCAAAGAACUUUGAAGAGAGAGUUCAAGAGGGCGUGAAACCGUUGAGAUUGAAACGGAUAGAGUUGACGGAACUCAGCUGCAUUCAUCCGAUCGGCCUAGUGGCCCGAUAGCGUUCGCAUCCUCGAUGAGGGCAACGUUAUCGGUAACUAUUGGGUAAUUGAUCGGUGUAUUUGCGGCUGGUAUGCGCUGAGAGUUUUGUGAUCGCAUGUUAACGGGUGUGCAGUGGACCAUUCCUUCCGGGCGUGGAACCCUUCACAUUUUUAGACAUGUCGAUUAUAAAGUUUUGAACGUGGCGUCUCCGCUAUUGUGCGUCGGCUUAUGCGUGCUAUCGUGAUUAUUUGAUAUUCGCAUGCGAAUGUCUGUAAUUAACGAUGAUGCGACAAAAGUGUGAGCGCGUUGAGACGUGCAUCUCGGUGUGAACGUUGACCACCUAUCCGA
rnacentral:rRNA from 1 species